GAAUCCAGAGAUACAAGUUCAGCUAAUAGGGCUGGUUUUGCCCUGAAGUAUUUAUUUGUGGAUCCAGAAGAAGUGGCUGAGAGGCUGAGCUGUACUUUUGGCAACAAAGAGAACAAUUGACCUUUGUCUGAUGGUAGACAGGCUGAUUUCAUCUUCCAUUGUCUUAGAAAAAGAGUUCAUAAUGGUUGAAAAUUUUGUUACAAGGAUGUUCAUCAAAAUGCUAUUUAUAUCGGCAGAAAAUUGGAAGGCACAUAACUUUCUAGAAAUGGAGGGCUGAUUAAAUAAUCAUGAUGUGUCCAUACAAUAAAACACUAACAGGCAUUUAAAAAAGUAAAAAGACUAACAAGAGCUUGGAAGAAGCCUCAUAAUAUGCUCUAAGGUGAAAAAAAUCCUGACUAUAAAAUAUUAUGUAGGGGAGUUUAGGAUUGACAUAUACAUACUACUAUUUUUAAAAUAGGCAACCAACACAGACUUACUGUAUAGCACAGGGAACUCUGCUCAAUAUUCUGUAAUAACCUAAAUAGGAAAGAGUUUGAAAAAGAAUAGAUAUAUGUAUAUGUAUAACUGAAUCACUUUGCUGUACACCUGAAACUAACACAACAUUGUUAACUAUAGUCUAAUAUAAGAUAAAACAUUUUAAAAUUAUGUACACAUCCCAUUUGUGUAACAUUAUGUGCAUACAUGUAGGAAAAUGUACAAAAAUGUUAACAGUGGUUAUCUCUUGGGAUUGGGGUGAUGUUUAAUUUCUUAUUUACUUGCUUAUAUAUCUGUAAUAAGAAAAAUGCAAAAACCUAAUGCAAAUUGCUCUGUAUUUUUAAUGAUAAAUAAAUAGUAUAUUAGAAGAUACUGCAGAAAAGUACAAAUAAGAAAAUAAAUAGUCCUGGAAGCCUCACUUCCAUAGAAAAUCAAUAUUAGUAUUUGGUUAUGAGGCAUUGAAAUAAUUCUCUAUAAAUUUAUGUGCAUAUAGACCCCAAACAUUUUAUAAUGUUUGGGAUCAUAAAACACAGUAUUCUGUUGGCUUACUUGUUUUUUUUUUUAACUCAAACAAAUAUAGAUUCACAUUUUUUAAACCUCACAGUAUUUAACUUUACUUCAACUCAAUUUUUUAUUUUAUCAAUUUUCUAUUGAUAAAUGUUUAAGUUUUUGAAAGUUUCAGUUAUGAACAAUGGUUCAAUGAACAUUCAUAUACAUUAAAGUAAUAAAAUCAUUAAAAAACAUUUACAAUAGCAUUUACCCUUUAGAUAGGUCCCCACAGCAUUUACUCAGCCUUCCUUAAAACACAGGCCAAGUAGUUGCCAGGCUGCAAAUAAAGCUAACCUCACAAAGUGGUAGAGUGCUGUAGCACGUGAUUAAGGAAACUUCUACCCUACAAAAUAUUUUGCCCCCAAGAUGCAAUUUAACUGUUUUAGCAAGGAGCACAUCUUUUCCUUUAUACAAUUAAAGAUCUAGAGCGAGGGAAAUGUUGGUUCUAAAGUCAUCCUUUUUGAAAAGUUAAAGUUAUUUAUGAUGGGCAGUUUUGCUCUUUCUCAUUUGCUGGGCUUUACACAAGGCCAUGAUGUUCAUUUGGGCAUAAUUCCAAGGGCCUCCAUUCUCUUUCUCAUCUGAGUGGAUGGCUCUAGGUUGUGUGAAAAUUAUGGGGCAUGCCACCGAGACCCUAGUAUUCAGUUUAGUUUGUUUUUUGCUUGGUUAUUUUGUUGGUUUAUUGAAUUCUCCAACCAGACCAUUACUAACAGAAAUACAUGAGAAAAAAAUCCCAGGAAUAUGUUUCAGGGUUUCAGAACAGUAGCAGUGAAAAUAGUGUUUACACAGAAGUUCAGAAAAGUUACAUAUAAGAGAAUAAAGACUUUUUUCAUAAUUUAGACAGAGUUGGUUUGAAAAAGGUUUUCAGCAAAUCACAUAACCAAAUAUAGAAAUGAAGGUUGCUAACUCAGGCUAUUGCACUAACCACUAAACUCAGCUUCCUCUCUUAGCUGCACAGGGCAGAAGCACAGGAAGAAAAAAAAUGCCACUCUUUCUGGAACAAGCAGACUUUUGGAAAAUGGCUAGUUCUGGAGCUUGACCUAUACGACGCAUCCUCCUACAAGGAAUGUGCUGAGGUGUCCAGAUUGUAAAAGUAGUGUGAUGAUGACUGAAUUGGAUGGCAAAUGGAAACGACAUCAGGUAUCCACCAGCCAGCAGGACACGGGCUUGUCCCAUGGCAGCAGAAAGUUGGUCUCUGGGCCAAUAGCAAGGCUGAGAAGUGGCCUGAUCGGGAAAAGAGCCAGUGCUGACUGCACCCCAGCGCUGCCAGCCCAGCCAGGGCCCAGGCAGAGCCCCGCCCCCUCUGCUGACAGUGCAGAGCCGCCCUGACAAAGGCUCUCUGUAGGCUCUGGGCAUAGACCUCCCACAACUACAGAUAAAACAGAAGGAGAUUAACACGUGUUAGAAGCUAAACAAAUAAGUUAGGGGAUAAUAUUUUUAAAUGUUUAUAUAUCUAGAUUCUGACCUUUUAAAAUUCAAUUUCAAGGUAUGCAGAUAUGACGGCAGGAGAUACCCUUAGUCCUGUGCAGCAUGUGCUAAAACAGCCCCUGCUUUCUGUGGGUGUCAGGGUCUAAAUCUUCCUUAGCUAUCAGUUUGUUUCUCAGGAAGUGUGCCAAAGAAUUUGUAUAUGCAGAGGGAUGGGGGACCCCAGAGCUUCACUGAUUGGGGAGGGCAUUACGGAUAAGAGUUCGUUCAGAAACUGAAACCACGGUUUCUUCCUCUACUCCUGGCCCUCUUGGUGACUCUCUGCCAGUCUGAAGCAGGAAGUUUCCUCGUAACAACAAAGAGAUAGAGUGGGACCUAACAUUGUUUCUUAUGAGUUGUCAUCUUUACACCUUUGAAUUGGAAAUGCCUCUGUAAUCUAUUAGGCUAACAGAAAAUAUAUGUUGUGAUAGCUAAAAGCAAGCAUUUCGGGGUUAUUAGAUAAGAAGUGUUAAAUACCUGUAGAAUAUCAUUAAUAUUCAAUAUGUGCUGUUGAAUUAUGCAAUAGAUUAUUAACUCUACAUCUGGAUUCAAAAAAAAAAAAAAAAAAAGAAAGAAAAGAGGAAAAGAAAAAAGACUCCAGUUACUAUCAUCUCAUAUCUCUGAACUUGAACUAUUGGAAUGAUUGCCUUUACUGUAUAAGCAAAGUUAACCUGAAUGUACCUGCAUUUUCCCUUGGGAGAAUGGUAUUUAGACCAUCACACGAUAACCAACUAUUUCAAAUCUGUUCUGGAAACCAGUUAAAUAGAAAUAAUCUCAAAAAAUGAAUAUUUGGAAAAUGACGCUCCCUUUACUCUGGAAAAGGAGUGCUUUGAGCAGCUGGGAGAGCGGCUCUUCCACUGCUCCUUUCUCUCUUCAUGAGUUCGUGUUCAGGUUGAAGAACCACGUUACUCCACAGAAGAUGACGCAGCAAAUAACACGAAGAAGUGCUGCGACAGAGAAACAGGACAAUGAAAUGUUCCUGUGGAUGAAAAAUGUCACUUGCCAUACAAUCAGGAAACAAAGGAUGUUGCAGCCAUCAAGCCAUCAGCCACUAUAACUGCUCCAACGGUGAGCUCUGAAGAAACUCAGGGUGGAGACAAACAGGCUGCCAGCCACCAAGUCGUCAGCCACUGCCUCAACAGUGCACCCUGAGGGCAUUCAGGAUGGGAAAGAGCCAGAUACUGGCCCUAGAUAGUUGAGGUGCCAAAGGAAUGAUUUCAGUGAGCCCAGACUCUUGCAUCUUCCUAUGCCUACCAUCGGGAAGUUAGGUAAAUUUUGCAGUCUCACAGACAGUGGCUUUGGAGAGUCCCAGGCCGUUCUGAUUCCAGAUCUGAAGCGCAUGCUUCUGCCGUUCCUCC